rnacentral:rRNA from 1 species
UACGGGGGGGGCAAGCGUUGUUCGGAAUUACUGGGCGUAAAGGGCGCGUAGGCGGUUGGAUAAGUCAGCUGUGAAAACCACGGGCUUAACUCGUGGCCUGCAGUUGAGACUGUCUGGCUUGAGUGUGGGAGAGGAGAGUGGAAUUCCUGGUGUAGCGGUGAAAUGCGUAGAUAUCGGAAGGAACAUCAGUGGCGAAGGCGGCUACCUGGACAAAUACUGACACUGAGGCGCGAAAGCGUGGGUAGCAAACAGG